GGUGAGGUGUCCGAGUGGCUGAAGGAGCACGCCCGAAAGUGUGUAUACGGCAACGUAUCGGGGGUUCGAAUCCCCCCCUCACCGCCA
rnacentral:tRNA from 1 species